CCACCGACUGCAAAACGGCCAAAGCCUUCCGCCCGUCCGGCGAUUGCCUUUAAGGUUGAAUCGACAUCGGCGUAAGAUGAAAUGAUAUAUCGAGCAAGGAAAAACGAAGACGUCCUAUCUGGAUUCAAUUGUUAAUUAGCAGCAUCUCAUAAGAAUUGAAGAUUAAAAAGAAAUUUCAUAUAUAAGAUAUCGCAUCUGUUUUAUUAAUUAUAAGUCAUCUCUUCGUUUCUAACUUUUAUUAAUAAGGUCGGUCCUUAUAGGGCUUCUAGCCCGCUUCCCACGCGCAUCCGACGCAACGAAACACCAAGAUGCUAGUAGCACUACGUGCGUCUAGCCCCUCAUCCAAAUGUUACUUCCAAACUUAGACGCAAUAAAGUGGUGGUGGUUGUGGGCCCAAUCGAUCGAAUGUUGGGUUAAUUAAAAAAAAACGUUUAUGCGUGUGGAGGUAGUUUUUAUAUAUACAAAUAUAUGUAUAUGUAUAUGUCAUGGAGAAGACAGAGUGAACAGGUGAUAUUUUUAUAAUUUAAUAUUAAGUUUCAUUUAAGCCCUUGAACCUUGAUCUAUUUAUAGUGUUACAAGUUUUAUUUUUAAACCUUUAAUUUGUAUGUAUCAUUUGUUAAAAUUUCUAAGUUAACUUCUUUUAA